rnacentral:rRNA from 1 species
UCGGGAAUUUUGGGCAAUGGGCGCAAGCCUGAUCCAGCCAUGCCGCGUGCGGGAAGAAGGCCUUCGGGUUGUAAACCGCUUUUGUCAGGGAAGAAACGGUCUGCAUUAAUACUGCGGACUAAUGACGGUACCUGAAGAAUAAGCACCGGCUAACUACGUGCCAGCAGCCGCGGUAAUACGUAGGGUGCAAGCGUUAAUCGGAAUUACUGGGCGUAAAGCGUGCGCAGGCGGCUUUGCAAGACAGGUGUGAAAUCCCCGGGCUUAACCUGGGAACUGCAUUUGUGACUGCAAGGCUGGAGUGCGGCAGAGGGGGAUGGAAUUCCGCGUGUAGCAGUGAAAUGCGUAGAUAUGCGGAGGAACACCGAUGGCGAAGGCAAUCCCCUGGGCCUGCACUGACGCUCAUGCACGAAAGCGUGGGGAGCAAACAGGAUUAGAUACCCCCAGUAGUCCCUGAGCGGGCUGGCAAGGCGCAU